AUUCUUGAAGACAGCUCGACCGUGAUGGAGGAGACAGGCAUUUAGAAUAAGCAUGAAAUAAAGGUGGCUGUUAAGGGGUCAGCUCCCCUCACCAAAGUCACUUUUGAUUUACUUACAAAAGUUUUCUUAAGAUUUCUUCAGAACCCAGGUCAAAAGGCUGUGGCAGGAGGCCAGGCAGAUCACAGCGUCCAUGCCUAGAUGCUCCCUGACCCCCAGGAACCAGAAGUGCUGUCUCCUGAAGGCUCUGGAAACCCGGAAUCAGCCUACGAGGCACCAGGGCCACCUUGGAGGGUGGAAAUGAGGACCUCAGGCCCCAGAGGGCAUGCAGGCGAGGUGAAGUUCAGGAGAGGGGAAAGAACAUGGGCUGUGUGGCCUUGGACCAAUUGCUUGCCCUCUCUGGGCCUUCUUAUUGGUGACAGACAGACUGGUGACUUUCUGAGAGGAUCUAUGCAACCUCAGGCUCCUGCACCUGGGUUACAGGGUCUUCUGGAGGGGAAGAGAUGAGCAGCAAGGACAAUAGCAGUGCUCCCUUCCCGGGUCAGUUGCAAGGAUUAAGGAUGAUGUCUGCAAAGUGCUUAGUCAGAGCCGGCAUACGGGAACUCACAGCGAAAUCUACCAACCAAAGAGGAUGUCCAUACCUGUCUUUUUCUUUCUUCCUUCAUUUUUUGACUUAAUUUCCUCACUUGAAAAAAAAAAAUAAAACACCUUAUUCAGGGUAUACUUUAUGGGCAGUCUUAAUUUUUUUUAUUAGGAUGUGGGAUGUA
rnacentral:lncRNA from 1 species